CCCAGGUGUGUGGUUUAGGCGACAGGGGCGUUCUCAGCGUUUCUGCCUUGUCUGCAGGGAGGAGGGGGUGGGCCCGGGGUUAGACCCAGUGGGUGGCAGUCACACCAGCGACUCAACCUCAGACCAGGCCGCCCAUGCCUUCGUGCGUCCGCUUCCUUAACUGUAAAGCAGAGAUCACAGUCAUUCUUUUUGUGUUUUUUUUCAGGUUUUAUUUAAAUUCAAGUUGGUUAACAUACAGGGAUUACAUUAGCUCUUACCUCAGAGUUGUUGGAAGGAGUAAGUGAGAGGCACAGCAAGUCCCCGGGAGCUUUUUCUCACGACUCAAGCCUGCGCUAGCGUCCUGGGAUGGGAGCAAAACCACCUCCACCUUACCGACGGCAGCCGAGGCGCAGAGACAUCAGCAGGGAGCAACAGUCAGACAGGGAAACAGCUCCUGCCAGACAGCAGGUAUCACCUCCACCUCUCCCACUUCCCCUAAAUCCUGGGGGUUCAGCUGAGCGUUCCGGUUUUUCCCCAGUUUCCUAA
rnacentral:lncRNA from 1 species